rnacentral:tRNA from 1 species
AGCGUUAAAGCAUAAUUAGGCUUUGCAGUAAUUUGCAAAAUUAUAAGGUGUAGGUUCAACUCCUAUUGACGUUU